CUAACUAAAGCUUUUUAUUUUGUAUGUAGGUGGCAUAAAGUGCAUUAAGAAUGUCACUAUCCAUACUGCUUCAAUAUUGUCCAUUGAUGCCGGGGAACACUGGUUAGGGGUAGGGGCAGCCGAUAAUUCAAUGUCCCUCUUUCACCGUCCUCAAGAGAGACUAGGUGGCUUCUCUAGUGCUGGUUCAAAGAUUGCUGGAUGGCAGCUCUACAGAACACCUCAGAAAACAGCUGCAAUGGUACGAUGUGUGGCCUCUGACCUUGAAAGGAAAAGGAUUUGUAGUGGUGGACGCAAUGGGUUGCUUCGACUGUGGGAUGCUACGAUAAACAUCUAGGUUUUUAUAAUUCUACUUGCCUUGACGGUUUCAAUGGAUGAUCAAGAAGGCUUGUGGUUGGGCUGGUGACCUCCAUUUGCUAGAGGAUUAAAUGUACAAGUUUGCUCUAUUUUGUUCAGCUUGCCACUAAAUACAUGCAUUGCCCAUGUAUCUUGUAUUAAUUGUUACAAGCUCGUGUAUUCUUGAACGUUUGUCUAAGUUAUAAAAUCUGUUUCAGAGAUGUUUCUUUCAAAAAUCUUAGCUCGAUCAAUUUAUAGGGGCAUCUUUAUAAGUUUUUACAAAGAACAA